rnacentral:rRNA from 1 species
UACGAAGGGGGCUAGCGUUGUUCGGAAUCACUGGGCGUAAAGCGCACGUAGGCGGAUCCUUAAGUCAGGGGUGAAAUCCCGAGGCUCAACCUCGGAACUGCCUUUGAUACUGGGGAUCUUGAGUCCGGGAGAGGUGAGUGGAAUUGCGAGUGUAGAGGUGAAAUUCGUAGAUAUUCGCAAGAACACCAGUGGCGAAGGCGGCUCACUGGCCCGGUACUGACGCUGAGACGCGAAAGCGUGGGGAGCGAACAGG